rnacentral:sRNA from 1 species
GUCUGAAAUGCAGAAGACAGAAGAUGAGCUCUGGCUCUUCACCUGCAUGGCUGGUGGCAGUGUGGCCUCAGUCUUCUGGGGCUUGAGGAGCUCUGACACUGGUCAGGUCAGAGGCACCCACUCACCCACUGCUGCCCAUAGCUGUCUUCCACAUCGUUGAUCCAGCGGUCAUCCCAGUCCACUCGGAGGCCCAACAGGUGAAGUGGGAGGAAGCCGUUCUCAGCCAGAAUCACAAACUUGCCCUCGCCCUCCGUGUACCCAUCGAUCUUCAGACCUGGUACUUGUUGGUGGAGUUGAAGGGUAUCUCGACGAUUUUGGCGUAUCUUUCUCUCAUCUCCUUCACGGAACCACAGCACAGCUCUAUGCACUUUAAGAGUGCUGACUCAGAGGCAUCUCCUGCAACUGCCCGCUGUGAACAGAGACAUCAUCUGUAAAUUAUCUCCAAAAAAUUUCACUGAGGCAUCACUAAAAAACAGGAAAAAUAACAAGACACAUUCCAAUCUUGUCAGAGGUAGCAGAGGACGGGCAAGAAGGAAGCAGUGGUGUUAAGUGGGACAGGCGUCCCUCUAGCCCAGACCACUGCUGUUCACAGUGCUUCAGACUCAAACCCCAACGUCCUUCCCCGCCCCACAGCAGCUUCUAGUGAAAGAAGGGUGUGGGAAGGUGUCACCUUCCCUAGAAGAGGUAUAACACACCCUUCCAACCUACUGCAGUCUAUUUCUAUCUUCCCCUGGCCUACUGAAAAGUCUCAAAGCCAAUGCUAUUCCCAACUACCUAUUUCUGGUGACUUAUCUGAAAAUACCAAGUGAGAAACUAAACAUUUAUAGCACCUUUCAUUACUGUAGAAUUCAUACGAAAAUGCUUAAGGUCUCAGGACUGGGGACAAACUGCCUGUGUCAAGGGCAAAGUAGAAGACUGUACAUUAUAAUCAUAACUGCGCAAAAUUAACUGGGCCUGAAGGAUGUGAACUGAAAGCUAUUACCAACUCCAACAGUAAUAAAAUCGAACCACGU